rnacentral:rRNA from 1 species
AGAGUUUGAUCAUGGCUCAGAUUGAACGCUGGCGGCAUGCCUAACACAUGCAAGUCGCACGCGAAAGCGGGCAACCCGCAAGUAGAGUGGCGGACGGGUGAGUAACGCGUAGGAAUCUACCUCGUAGUGGGGGACAACCCGGCGAAAGCCGGGCUAAUACCGCAUACGAUCCACGGAUGAAAGCAGGGGACCGCAAGGCCUUGCGCUAUGAGAUGAGCCUGCGUCGGAUUAGCUAGUUGGUGAGGUAACGGCCCACCAAGGCGACGAUCCGUAGCUGGUUUGAGAGAACGACCAGCCACACCGGAACUGAGACACGGUCCGGACUCCUACGGGAGGCAGCAGUGGGGAAUAUUGGACAAUGGGGGCAACCCUGAUCCAGCAAUGCCGCGUGUGUGAAGAAGGCCUUCGGGUUGUAAAGCACUUUCGGUGGGGACAAACAAGGCGGAGCUAACAUCUCCGUCCCUGAUGGUACCCAAAGAAGAAGCACCGGCUAACUCUGUGCCAGCAGCCGCGGUAAUACAGAGGGUGCAAGCGUUAAUCGGAAUUACUGGGCGUAAAGCGUGCGUAGGUGGUUUGUUAAGUCAGGUGUGAAAUCCCGGGGCUCAACCUCGGAAUUGCGCUUGAUACUGGCAGACUCGAGUGUGGUAGAGGAUAGUGGAAUUCCCGGUAGCGGUGAAAUGCGUAGAUAUCGGGAGGAACAUCAGUGGCGAAGGCGGCUAUCUGGACCAACACUGACACUGAGGUACGAAAGCGUGGGUAGCAAACAGGAUUAGAUACCCUAGUAGUCC